ACUUAAUAAAAUCAACGUAGUCUGCUCGAUUUAAUUUCGCGCCAUUCAAACGUAUGUAAGACACUUCUGCAGGGUAUUCAACGCAGAAAAAACGUUUACGAAGAUAUUUUCAUCUAUAUCGAGCAGCGAUUCGUCGCGGAAUCAAGCUUAAUUUGUUUGUGUCCUUGCCAUCAAGGAAAUAAAGAAGUUGUCAAAAAAUGGCAAGCUCAGGUGCAGCAAAAGUUCCAAAAAUUAAAUUAAACAGUGGUUAUGAGAUGCCAAUGAUUGGUCUUGGAACAUGGAAAUCAGAACCUGGGAAGGUUACACAAGCAGUCAAAGAUGCUGUAGAUAUUGGCUACAGGCAUUUUGAUUGUGCAUUUGUGUAUCAGAACGAAGCAGAAGUUGGGAAAGCACUAAAAGAGAAAAUUAGCAAUGGAGAUGUCACAAGAGAAGAACUAUUCAUAACAAGCAAGUUGUGGAACACUUUCCAUAAACCAGAAAAAGUUGAACCAGCUCUCAAAAAAUCAUUGAGCCUUUUGGGAUUAGAUUAUGUAGAUCUUUAUCUCUUCCACUGGCCUAUCUCAUUUAUUGAUAAAGAUAGUGAACUCUUUCCAAAAGAUGAGGAUGGUAAGCACCUGUUCGAGGUAAUCGACCAUAUCGAUACCUGGCGGGAGAUGGAAAAAUGUGUCGAGCUUGGACUAGUCCGCUCGAUUGGUUUGUCAAACUUCAACAGUCGACAAAUUCAACAUAUUAUGGAUAAUUCGAAAAUCAAACCAGUAGUCAAUCAGGUGGAGUGUCAUCCUUAUUUGAAUCAGAAACGGUUGAUCGAGUUCUGCAAACAAAAAGACAUUGUGGUGACCGCCUACAGUCCGCUUGGCUCGCCUGAUCGUCCAUGGGCUAAACCAGAUGAUCCGAACCUAUUGGAAGAACCAAGAAUCAAAUCAGUCGCCCAGCUCUAUAGAAAGACAUCUGCGCAGAUUUUAAUUCGCUAUCAAAUUGAUCGUGGGGUUGCCGUCAUCCCGAAAUCAGUCAACAAAUCUCGCAUAGAAGAAAACUUUACUAUUUUUGAUUUCAGCCUUCAAGCAAAAGAAAUGGAGAACCUAUCCUGGCUAGAUGAAGAAGAUAACCGUUGCCAUGAAUAUAGAAAACCUCUAAAUGUUUCAGAAACGUUGCUUCUUGUUAAGUAUAAAGGUUUUGAAAUUUUCUUUUUUAUUGUUUAAUCAUGAAAUAUUUUGUACGUUAUCGUAAGGAAAACAAGUCCGUUUAUCUACAAAGAAUAGAAAAAUUACGGAAAAUCAACGCGAAAAUCAUCGCCUGUAAAAUCAAAAAAAAAGAAAAAGAGGAGUUAUCACUCCUUUGGGCCUUGUACCAUCAGAGCUGACAAAUUUAUUUCUAAACGUUGACAUUGAAUUGUGAUCACAAUUCUUAUGGAAACUGUUGGGCUGCGCUUGGCUGGUAGCGCUUUUACCGUUUCCCACUAAUUGGAUAAAGCAACAAGAAAACGUAGUCCACUCGAAUGAACUUGUUCCAGACGUUUGCAUCUCGAGACAUGCAUAGAAUUUUGUUUAUUGUACAGCAGGAAGCGACUGGAAUAGGAAGUAUUAUUUACAAUUUCUAGCGCUACUACCUCAAGUUAUUUAUAUUUACUGACGAUGGCCAGUUCAGGAGCAGCAAAGGUCCCAAAAGUCAAGUUAAACAAUGGCUACACUAUACCCAUGAUUGGCCUUGGAACAUGGAGGUUGAGUGGCAUUUUCAAAUUUAGAAAACAGUCGGCAGAUUCAACAUGUCCUGGAAAAUUCUAAAAUCAAACCCGUAGUCAAUCAGGUGGAAUGUCAUCCCUACUUCAAUCAGAAAAAGUUGAUCGAGUUUUGCAGGAAAAAAGACAUAGUAAUCACCGCCUACAGCCCACUUGGUUCUCCUGCACGUCCUUGGGCUAAAGCAGAAGAUCCACAUUUAAUGGAAGAAUCGAAAAUCAAAUCCG